rnacentral:rRNA from 1 species
UGGGAACGUACCCUUUUCUACGGAAUAGCCUCUGGAAACGGAGAGUAAUACCGUAUGUGCCCUUCGGGGGAAAGAUUUAUCGGUAAAGGAUCAGCCCGCGUUAGAUUAGAUAGUUGGUGGGGUAAUGGCCUACCAAGUCUACGAUCUAUAGCUGGUUUUAGAGGAUGAUCAGCAACACUGGGACUGAGACACGGCCCAGACUCCUACGGGAGGCAGCAGUGGGGAAUCUUAGACAAUGGGCGCAAGCCUGAUCUAGCCAUGCCGCGUGUGUGAUGAAGGCCUUAGGGUCGUAAAGCACUUUCGCCAGGGAUGAUAAUGACAGUACCUGGUAAAGAAACCCCGGCUAACUCCGUGCCAGCAGCCGCGGUAAUACGGAGGGGGUUAGCGUUGUUCGGAAUUACUGGGCGUAAAGCGUACGUAGGCGGAUCAGAAAGUAUGGGGUGAAAUCCCAGGGCUCAACCCUGGAACUGCCUUAUAAACUCCUGGUCUUGAGUUCAAGAGAGGUGAGUGGAAUUCCGAGUGUAGAGGUGAAAUUCGUAGAUAUUCGGAGGAACACCAGUGGCGAAGGCGGCUCACUGGCUCGAUACUGACGCUGAGGUACGAAAGUGUGGGGAGCAAACGGGAUUAGAUACCCUGGUAGUCCACACCGUAAACGAUGAAUGCCAGUCGUCGGGCAGUAUACUGUUCGGUGACACACCUAACGGAUAAGCAUCCGCCUGG